GAAAACCCUCGACCACUUCCUGACCGACCAUCAUUCCUCGGUAAUACCUAUGCACGACACUUCCGUUGCCCAAGCACACACAUUCUGAACACUAACUCAGAAACCGAAUUCUUGUUCCAACCAAACCAUGGUCGAACACCGAUUAACCACACUUGGAAUUUCCUUUUUCCUAAUUAGUUAAGCCAUUCUACUCUCCAAAGAGUCUAUUGGUUCACGAUUAUGCCUUAGACACACAAAGUCUCGAAGCACCUCACUCGUUUCACCUCAACCAUUUCUUAAGUACGAAUGCUCUACAUAACUUAUCCAACCCCAAAAUUGGACCAUCUCCAAUCGCUCAGAAACAUAACUAUUAUCUCGGUUUCC
rnacentral:lncRNA from 1 species